rnacentral:rRNA from 1 species
CCUACGGGUGACAGCAGUAGGGAAUUUUGCGCAAUGGGCGAAAGCCUGACGCAGCAACGCCGCGUGAGUGAUUAAGCCCUUCGGUGUGUAAAGCUCUGUCAGUGGGGAAGAAACUUGACGGUACCCACAGAGGAAGCACCGGCUAACUCCGUGCCAGCAGCCGCGGUAAUACGGAGGGUGCAAGCGUUGUCCGGAAUCAUUGGGCGUAAAGAGUUCGUAGGUGGCAUGUUAAGUCUGGUGUUAAAUGCCAAGGCUCAACUCCUGUUCGGCAUUGGAUACUGGUAAGCUUGAGUGCGGUAGAGGUAAAGGGAAUUCCUGGUGUAGCGGUGAAAUGCGUAGAUAUCAGGAGGAACAUCGGUGGCGUAGGCGCUUUACUGGGCCGUAAUUGACGCUGAGGCACGAAAGCGGGGGUAGCAAACGGGAUUAGAUACCCUUGUAGUC